CCCUUAGAUGUUCUGGGCCGCACGCGCGCUACACUGACGAUGGCAACGAGUUUUUCCUUCGCCGAAAGGUGUGGGUAAUCUUUUGAAACAUCGUCGUGCUGGGGAUAGAUCAUUGCAAUUUUUGAUCUUGAACGAGGAAUUCCUAGUAAGCGCGAGUCAUCAGCUCGCGUUGAUUACGUCCCUGCCCUUUGUACACACCGCCCGUCGCUACUACCGAUUGAAUGGUUUAGUGAGGACUCCUGAUUGGCGCCGCCGCCCCGGCAACGGAGCAGCGGACUGCCGAAAAGUUGUUCCAACUUGAUCAUUUAGAGGAAGUAAAAGUCGUAACA
rnacentral:rRNA from 1 species